AGCAACUCUGUGUGAGCUAGGACAAACAAGUCAUGAUGACGAUACCCUUGAUCAUGUUGCUUUGCACUACCACCAUGCUAAUUUGGGUAGAUUUUGAACAACACUACCACAACACUAGCAUUGGCCCAACGAUGUAGAAAAACUGUUGAUAAUUUGAGCAAGAUGUUAACUCCCCAGCAUGGUUUUGCACCAGAAACCUGAUGGCAUUUAAACUCCAGGAUCAGAUCUAUCAUGCAGUUGAGUCAGAAGUCCUAACUCCAUGAUUCCAGUAUGCCUCUUCAAGUGAGACUCUCAAGGACUCUUUUGCAGAUCUCCUGAGGAUUUGGCCAAAGUCUGCCAAACUGCUCCUGUCCAGGCCUUGGCUAUGCUUGACUGUUGGAACAUAAAGCAACAUGUCAGAAAGUCGCAGGACUCUGAUCACCGUUACUACUUCCUGUUGGUCUAUGCCUGCUACGUUGGUAGAUUCCAUAACUCCUAUAUCCUAGCACAGUCCUGUAUACUCAGUGCUUUUGAGAGUCCAACUGCCUUUACAAGGCUACUUGCUUGGGGGCAAGGAUUACCCACUGUGAUCAUGGCUCAUGUCACCAUUGUGCAACUCCUUCACUGAUGCAAGUGUUAAAAGCUGCCCAAGGCCAUGGUGGAGCUGAAGAUGCGCAUCCACUGCUUGGAUUGAUCUGGUAUUGCCCUCCAGUAUAGUCUGGACAGACUGUGCUGUGUCAUCCUGGUGUGCUGUUCUCUUGGAACAGGCAAUGAGAUAAAGUGCUAAAUGCUGAAGAACUAGAGAAAUGGGAGCAAACUUCCAAGGAGAGGGAAAAAGACAUUGGGAUGGAGGAAGUUGUUGUCCAUGACAGACCUCAGCUGUUUUGGGUGCUACAAGCCAGAAAGGACCUUAUUGACACCUCCUUCCAAUAGAUGACAGCUGCCAGCAGCAAAACAUCAUGGACAGUAAAAUAUUCAUUGGUCAUGAUGCCAAAAUCUGAUUUACACAUUGUGGGAGUGAGCUUUAGCAUCAAUUGGUUUUGUUUGUAUUCAUUUUUGCUGUCUGUAAAUAAAAGUUCAUAUUUGUAUUUGUC